AAUAUAUAUACAUAGAAAGUGUCCGUAUGUGUAUGGGCAUUUACCCGCGUCUCCUCGCUCCUUAACCUUGUUUCUCGGACCUUGAUUGCAUUUUCUCUCUGAGAUUCUCAGUCUGUCGAACUCUGUUUCUCUCCAGUCUCCGUAGUUACCUGCUCGGCUGUUUGUAAUCUACAUCUGAUCGCCUUUCUCUUUAUUCGAGACUUGGGAUUUUGGAGCUUCCAUUCCAAUCGGUGUGCUUGAGAAGCUGGAAAACUCCCGCAGGUUUUGCCCUAUUUAAAGUUUUGGAUGAAGGGAAGCUCUCCAAAGUUGAGGUCUUGUCGAAGGAAUUAUCCAGUUUUAUUUCAAUAUUGUUCUUGGUAGCUAUGAAUCCAGUUCCAUUCCAACCUGCAUCAGCACCCUGGUUUCCAAUGCUACCGCCUUACCUGCCAAUCUCGAGUACCUUUUGGGGAACCACAAACAUGCGUUAUCAGCUAAAGGACUUACAAGACACUAUUGAUCUUGCAAAAGCAAUGGGGAAAGAGCUUCAUAUGUUGAUGUCGAUCGAAGAUGGUAAAAGGUCUAUGGAAGAUGCGGAUAUUGUGUCUAAUGAUGCUUCAGUUGGAGGUUUCUCCCAACUUUUGGAAGACAGGAGCAUUGAUUUGGAAUCCCAAAUUUCACUUUCACUGCGUGCUGCAAACUCUUUGAUGUCCAAAUUAAGAGUUCAGCUUGAACCAUGUAGAUUGAUUACAGAUGAAAUGGCUCCAUGGGAGGAAAAAUCUGCUGCAUUUAGAUUAUCCAACAAAAUAAGAAAGUCAAAACGAAAUAAGCAUUGGAGGAAAAAAAAGAGGAAGCGAAUUGCGGAAACAUUUGCAAAGGAACAUGAAAGGUUUGAGCAAGCUGAUCAGGAAGCUGAUGAGUGGAGAGCCAGGGAGAUUGCUAAAGAUAUUGCUAAGCGCAAGGUGGAAAAGAUGAAGGAAAUUGCAAAGCUUAAAGCCAAAGAGGAGAAAGAGAGACUAGAAUCUGAGCUUGAGCUGGUGCUGAUGGUGGAGAAAUUGCAAGAAUUACGUGCUAUCAGAAUUCAAAAAUUGAAAAAACAAGGUCAUUUUCUCCCUGAAGAGGAUGACAAGUUUCUUGAAAGAGUUCAAGCUGCUGUAGAGGAAGAAGAGCGUCAAGCUAUAGCGGCAGCUGAUACAGAUGCUGCUAAGGAUGCCAUUGCAAAUGCUGAGGAAUCAAGGAAGACAACCCAUAGUAUUGGACAUGAUUCAAAAGAUCCAAACAUCGACAAAGGUAAAAGUAGUGAAGAUAAAGACCGCACAAGCUCUAGGUCACUGACUGAAAAGGAAUCUGAGGAACAAGUAUUUGAUACACAAGGAUAUUAUGGAGCUUAUGACUCUGUUGGAAACUUACCAAUUGAAUUCUAUCACUAUUAUCAUGGCAGCAGCACUGACAUGGGCACCCUUAUUGAGGUGAGAAGAACAUGGGAUGCAUAUUUAAGACCAGGUGGAAGCCGCAUACCAGGGCACUGGGUUCUACCACCACCUCCAGCUGAUGAGAUAUGGGCAUCCUACUUGGUGGGGCCUAAAUGAAGCCUACUUGAACUACAGAGUUGGUGGCAGGUUUUUCUUGAGGAGAUUUUGGGGAAAAGGCUUCCACAAGCUGCUACCAUGGGACACGACAGACUUCAUGGACGUUUCCAAGUAUUGGACAGAAGAAUAAAUGGAUUGGAGGAUACCUCAAGCACUCAAAAUUUGUACUGUUGGGUACUUUUUCUAUGCUCAAGGCUGCAUUUUCGUUUUGGUGUUGUAUUAUAAUUGGAAUAAUGUACCUUAAAUGUUUUAGCAAGAUUUUGUUGUAAUAGAAACUCAUCAGUUGUGGUUAGCUGCCACGUUGGAUUA